rnacentral:rRNA from 1 species
UAAGGAAUAUUGGUCAAUGGAGGCAACUCUGAACCAGCCAUGCCGCGUGCAGGAAGAAGGCCCUAUGGGUCGUAAACUGCUUUUUGAACAAGAGAAAACCCCGGUACGUGUACUGGGUUGAUAGUAUUGUUAGAAUAAGCAUCGGCUAACUUCGUGCCAGCAGCCGCGGUAAGACGAAGGAUGCAAGCGUUAUCCGGAUUCAUUGGGUUUAAAGGGUGCGUAGGCGGACUGAUAAGUCAGUGGUGAAAUCUCUCGGCUUAACCGAGAAACUGCCAUUGAUACUGUUAGUCUAGAGUACAGAUGAUGUGGGCGGAAUAUGACAUGUAGUGGUGAAAUACUUAGAUAUGUCAUAGAACACCGAUUGCGAAGGCAGCUCACAAAACUGUAACUGACGCUGAGGCACGAAAGUGCGGGGAUCAAACAGGAUUAGAUACCCCCGUAGUCCCUGAGCGGGCUGGCAAGGCGCAU